GAAGUCGCUUCAGCCUACGGUGCCUCUCGUCGGAGAGGUGAAACUGGGAAUGCGGUGCGGCGAGAGAUCGCCAAUUCCGCAGCUGCCCCCGCAACUGUGAGCGGAAUAGGUCCGGAUCAAACUGCCACUGAGCUUCGAAGUGAUGCUUGGGAAGGCGAUCCGGACAAUCUCCGCGAGCCAGGAGACCGGCCGAAGGCGUUGUUCAACUC
rnacentral:ncRNA from 18 species